GUGAGUUUGAUCCUGGCUCAGAUUUAACGCUAGCGAUAUGCUUAACACAUGCAAGUUAAACUGUAUCUAAUUAUAGUAGCGCACGGGUGAGUAAUAUAUUAUACAUGCCUAUACAAUUCGAAUAAGGUGGCGAAAGCUGCUCUAAUACGUUAUAAGGUUAUUUAAUUUCUAAUAACAAAAGAUUCUAAAAUAUUUUAGUUUUGUGUAUAGAUUGUUUAAUAUCAGAUUAGCUAGUUGGUGAUGUAAUUGAUUACCAAGGCCAUUAUCUGUAGCUGUUCUGAGAGGAAGUACAGCCACAUUGGGACUGAGACAAGGCCCAAACUCCUAAGGGAGGCAGCAGUGGGGAAUAUUGGACAAUGAGCUAAAGCUUGAUCCAGCAAUAUCGCGUGUGUGAUGAAGGGAAACUGUAAAGCACUUUUUUUUAAGACUAAUGUUUUUAUUAACUUGAAUUUAUUAAAAGAAUAAGCACUGGCUAAUUACGUGCCAGCAGCCGCGGUAAUACGUAGAGUGCAAGCGUUAAUCGGAAUUAUUGGGCGUAAAGCGUGUGUAGGCUGUUUAUUAAGAAAGAUUGCAAAUAAUGAAUCUUAAGUUCAUUUCCUUUCUUUUACUGGUAGACUUGAAUUUAAUAGGGGAGAAUAGAAUUUUAUGUGUAGCGGUGAAAUGCGUAGAUACAUAAAGGAAUACCAAUAGCGAAGGCAGUUCUCUGGGUUAAUAUUGACGCUGAUACACUAAAGCAUGGGGAGCAAACAGGAUUAGAUACCCUGGUAGUCCAUGCCCUAAACUAUGUCAACUAACUGUCAGAUAUUUUUUUGGUGGUAAAGCUAACGCGUUAAGUUGACCGCCUGGGGAUUACGAUCGCAAGAUUAAAACUCAAAGGAAUUGACGGGGACCUGCACAAGCGGUGGAUGAUGUGGAUUAAUUCGAUGCAACACGAAGAACCUUACCUACUCUUGACAUGUAUAGAAUUUCUUUGAGAGAAGAAAGUGCCUUAUGGAGCUAUAACACAGGUGCUGCAUGGCUGUCGUCAGCUCGUGUCGUGAGAUGUUGGGUUAAGUCCUAUAACGAGCGCAACCCUUAUUUUUUAUUGCUACUUUUUACUGGGGCACUUAAAAAAGACUGCUAAUGAAAAAUUAGAGGAAGGAAAGGAUGACGUCAAGUCCUCAUGGCCUUUAUGAGUAGGGCUUCACACGUCAUACAAUGGUUAGUACAAAAAGAAGCUAUUCUGUAAGGAUGAGCAAAUCUUUAAAUCUAAUCUAAGUUCGGAUUGUAUUAUGAAACUCUAAUACAUGAAGUUGGAAUCGCUAGUAAUCGUAAAUCAGAAUGUUACGGUGAAUACGUUCUCAGGUCUUGUACACACCGCCCGUCACACCAUGGAAGUAAUUUUUAUUGGAAGCAUUCUUUAUUGAAUGUUAAUAUAGGAGUUAUAACUGGGGUGAAGUCGUAACAAGGUAGCUGUAUCGGAAGGUGCGGCUGGAU
rnacentral:rRNA from 1 species